UCCAUCUGAUGUCCAGUCUAUCGUUACAACUAUCUAUGGAUAUGAAUACUACGUGGAUGAUGUAUACAUACAUACCCAUAAAAUGUGGGUUGUUGUUAUAGGAUCGAAACAGUAUGGUCGUGAUGAUCUGGACCUGUACGUUACUGCAAUCAAUUUGCUUAAUUUCUUUCCUUGUACAUCGUCUUACAUGAACGUGUCAGUGACGUUGAUUUGUGAUGGAUAUUACGACUGCGAUAAUUAUGAAGACGAAUCAUCAUGCAAUAACUCAGUUACACACCUCGAGGAAGGCCAAUCAAUUACUAUAGGCACGCUAUCUUACACAGGAUACAAUACAACCUUGUUGAAAUCGAAUGCUACAAAUGGGUUUCGAAUUGUGAUCCAUCGUUUGUAUAGUUAUAAUUCUGAUGAUGA